AGAGUUUGAUCCUGGCUCAGGAUGAACGCUGGCGGCGUGCCUAACACAUGCAAGUCGAACGGAUCCAUACUGAAACCUAGUGAUGUAUGGAUUAGUGGCGGACGGGUGAGUAACGCGUGGAUAACCUGCCGUAUACAGGGGGAUAACACUUAGAAAUAGGUGCUAAUACCGCAUAAGCGCACGGUUCCGCAUGGAACAGUGUGAAAAACUCCGGUGGUAUACGAUGGAUCCGCGUCUGAUUAGCCAGUUGGCGGGGUAACGGCCCACCAAAGCGACGAUCAGUAGCCGGCCUGAGAGGGUGAACGGCCACAUUGGGACUGAGACACGGCCCAAACUCCUACGGGAGGCAGCAGUGGGGAAUAUUGCACAAUGGGGGAAACCCUGAUGCAGCGACGCCGCGUGAGUGAAGAAGUAUUUCGGUACGUAAAGCUCUAUCAGCAGGGAAGAAAAAAAGUCCUUUGGACUUUGGACGGUACCUGACCAAGAAGCCCCGGCUAACUACGUGCCAGCAGCCGCGGUAAUACGUAGGGGGCAAGCGUUAUCCGGAUUUACUGGGUGUAAAGGGAGCGUAGACGGCAGCGCAAGUCUGGAGUGAAAUGCCGGGGCUCAACCCCGGAACUGCUUUGGAAACUGUGCAGCUCGAGUGCAGGAGAGGUAAGCGGAAUUCCUAGUGUAGCGGUGAAAUGCGUAGAUAUUAGGAGGAACACCAGUGGCGAAGGCGGCUUACUGGACUGUAACUGACGUUGAGGCUCGAAAGCGUGGGGAGCAAAAAGGAUUAGAUACCCUGGUAGUCCACGCCGUAAACGAUGAUUAACUAGGUGUCGGGGGGGCCAAGGCCCUCCGGUGCCGG
rnacentral:rRNA from 1 species